CGAGAUCGACCGAUCCGGGCCAUGUGGAUCGACCGAUCUCAGGCGCUACGGGCUCCACACGCACACACGAGCUUUUCACUCCUUUUUACCCACUCCCCUCAAUAAUUCAAGAAAGAACUCGACCUUUGAGACUCAGAAAAGACCAGGGGCGACCAAGAAGGAGAUUUACAAGUUCUAGAGAGAGAUUUGAGAGUUUUUGUUCAUCUUUUGUGUGAUUUGUGAAGAUUUGUGAAGGAGUUCAUCUCAAAACCAUUUGGAGAAGAUCUUCUGAACCUUUACUCUGUUUUAAUACAAUCUUAUCAUGUUUUCUUCAUCAAAAUCGUUUUGUUCUUGCUUAGUUAUGUGUGAGUAGUCAUCUAGUUGGGUUUAGGGGUUCUCAUAGGGGAUUUCUUGAUGUUUUGAUUCAUAAAACGUGUGUAGACUAAGGGAUUACGUUUUGGUUCUUCAUCUAAUGGAUUUCUUACUGCUUGAACUGAAUUGAUCACUUAGUUCAUGAUUUCAGAUUGUUUGAUGCACCGAAAGUGAUUGUUUGAACUUCCGAAAAUACUUUAGAUGAGCAAAGUGUCCUUAACCCUCGGAAGUUGAUGUUAUUGCGCUUUGUGAACAUAUUGAACCUGUUCUUAAUGCUUGUUUAGAAAUUGAAACUCAGCGGAAGUUAGUGUGGAGAUUUCUAUAACAUAGAGAAUUAGCGCUACGGAAGUAGGUUAAUUCUAAUAUCGUGUUUGAGUUCUAGACGGUUCUUAAUAUAUCCCUGUGUCUGCCAUUAAUUGUAUCUUGAUUAAAAAGAAAUCCCUGAGAAUUCCCAAUGCCCAACGUUUGUUUUAAAAUAGUUUUCAAAUCGUUUAAAUCAUCUUUUCACAUGCUUGUUUAUGCUUUGUGACACUAGAGAAAAUUAAAUAAAAACCAUCAAAAAUAUAUCUUGAUUCGCUGUAGCUAUUAACUUGUCUGCAACUCUACGUGUGAUCAUCGGUCCCUGUGGAUUCGAUCCCGUAUUACUACUGCGUACUUUACUGUGCACUUGCAGUUAGAUAAUCGGGUUAAAACUCGAGACAUCACUUUUUUGGCGCCGUUGCCGGGGACCAUUUGGUCACCCUAGAGUUAAUGAUCAGUUUAAGACUAUAGCAUUUUCUUUAUUUUGUCUAAUGUUUCUGUCUUUCUCUUUCUGUUUGUGUUUUCAGGUGAAUGAGCGGAUUUCAUACUAGAAGCAAAGGAUCAUCGAAUUUAAUACCUUUGGAGUUAGAGCUCGGCCGCCUAGAGAGACAAGUGAAAAAGAAAAGACUUGAGUCCGCUGAAGAGGUUGAAAUGGCUGAACACCAAGAAGACCAAUUUCAGGACAACCCGCAAAAUCCAAUUCCUGUAAAUGAACGAGAAGGCAACAAUGCUGGUGAUAAUCAGCAGGCUGGUGUAGCUGCAAGACAACAGGCUGGAGACUAUGGCAUGCCUAGGAUGACGCUUGCACAUUAUGAUACACCAGAUGCAUUCUAUGCCGAUCGUUCUGGGAUUCGCCCACCUCCCAUUGAGAGAAGAGACUUUGAGAUCAAGACUGGUCUCAUUAAUUUGGUGGAGAAAAAUCCGUUUCAUGGAAACCCGUCUGAGGACCCGAUGUAUCACUUGGAGCAUUUUGAGCGAGUCUGUGACACCAGCAGACAUAAUGGAGUUCCUCAAGGCGCUUUGAAAUGCAGGUUGUUCCCGUUUUCCUUAGCUGAUAAAGCUAUCAGAUGGUUAAAGUCCAUCCCUCCAGGAUCUCUUACUACAUGGGAAGAGACAAGAGCUGCUUUUCUACAGCAUUUCUUCACCAAGUCAAGGUCCACAUAUCUGAGAAGCAGAAUUGGAAGCUUUCAGCAGCUUGAUUCAGAAAGCUUUCAUGAGGCUUGGGAGCGUUUCAAGGAGUACACACAGGACUGCCCUCACCAUGGUUACACUGAUGUGAGCUUGCUGAACAUUUUCUAUAAUGGAGUUCAUGAAGAGAGUCAAGAUGCCAUGGACACAGCAAGUAAUGGUGAUUUCAUGACCAAGACUGUUGAAGAAGCUUACACCUUGCUGAACAACCUGUCAUCCAGCAAAGCAAACCGCAAGUCAAGGUUUGAUACCAGCCAGAAGGGUGUUGGUUAUGAAUCCAAGAAGAUAGAUGAGCUGAAUGCCAAGAUUGAGAUGCUUCUCAAGAGAGAUCAGAAAUCUGUGAAAUUUGUGGAGGAGCAAGGCUAUCGUUCCUCACAAGAAGCUGUUGGUGAUGAUUCAAGUGAUAUGCAGGCUGAUGUGAACUACAUUGGUGGUCAAGGAAACUACAACAGAGGCUACAAUCAGAACCUUGGGUGGAAUCAAAAUCAGCAAAAUAAUCUGUCUUACCGGAGCAACAAUGUGGAGAAUCCACAACAUCAGUCCUACCCUCAGGCAGGAAACAGGCAGAACCAGAAUCAGAACCAGAGUGUGUUCAACCAAGGAUUUCAGAACAGAAAUCAAUAUCAGGGGAACAACUCGGGCAACUCAGGAUUUCAGCAAAGGCAGCAGUACAACAACUAUCAGAAUCAAGGAAAUGCCUCUUCGUCACAGCCUUCUCAGGAUAACGAAAUUAAGAAGAUGCUGCAAAUGGUGCUAGAAGGUCAGAAGAAUAGCACUGCAGAGAUAAACACCAAGGUGGAUAACAUGUAUGGAGAGCUUAAUGGGAAGUUCGAAGCUUUGAACACCCAUUUGAAAGUUUUGGAAAAGCAAGUUGCUCAAACCGCCUCCAGCAGCAGAACAGCACCUGGAUUUCUACCAGGGAAGUCAGAGACGAAUCCCAAGGAGUUUGUGAAUGCUAUAACACUUAGGAGUGGAAAAACGAUUGAGGAAUCGAAAGAGAAAGAGAUCGACCGAUCUCAAGAACAGAUCGACCGAUCCAAGGGGAAGGAGAUCGACCGAUCCGGUCCAUCUGGAUCGACCGAUCCCGUGUCGACGAAGCCAAAUUCCUCUGAACCUGAAGAGGUGUAUGUGGCGCCUCCUGCUUAUGUUCCUAAGGCUCCAUACCCAUCCAGACCAAGGCAGAAGAUCAAAGAACGUGAGUACGAGAAGCUAAAGAACCUUGUUGGGGAGUUACAUGUGAGAUUGCCAUUUGUUGAAGCGGUGAAGAUGGUACCUUCUCUUAAAAGGUACAUGAAGGAGAUUCUUACCGAUAAGAUGAGCCUAGAGCGGGGUGUGUUGAUGCUCAAUGAGGAGUGUAGCGCAGUUCUACAAAAUGUCAUGCCUAAAAAGCGUGAAGAUCCCGGAGCAUUUGUUCUACCAUGCCGCAUUGGAUCACUUACUUUUGAGAAGAGUCUCUGCGAUCUGGGUUCAGGAGUGAGCCUAAUGCCUUUCUCUGUCUCUGAGAGGCUAGGCAUGACGAACUACAAACCUACAAGGAUCUCCUUGGUCCUUGCUGACCGAUCAGUGCGAAGACCAGUCGGUGUACUAGAAAACAUCCCUGUUGGUGUUGGAAAGGGAUAUGUGCUUACCGAUUUUGUAGUUCUGGAGCUGGAAGAGGAACCUAAAGAUCCUCUCAUUUUGGGCAGACCGUUUUUAGCUACUGCUGGAGCCAUGAUUGAUGUACAGAAUGGGCAUAUAGACUUACGUCUAGGAGACAUGGCGAUGAGAUACAAUGUGGAGAAGGUGCUGAAAAAUCCGACUAUUGAUGGACAGACUUUCUGGGUUGAUACAUUGACUGAACUGGUGGAGGAAAUGGAUGAAGAGUUGCACACUGAUGAUCCUCUACAAGUCGCAUUGACCCAAAGGGAGAGUGAGUUCGGGUUCAUGAACCAAGAAGUGGUUGGAUUUUCUGAGAUUUUGGAUUCAGCCUCACCGAUUGAGAAGCAUGUCGCCUAUGUCAGCCUUGAAGACUCAGGCACCGAUAAAACCGUCAAACCGUCAUCCUCCCAACCAGAUUGGAGUGAGGAGAAUGCUCCAAAGGUGGAACUUAAAGCCCUCCCAGCUGGGCUGAGGUAUGCAUUCUUGGGACCGAAUUCCACAUAUCCUGUUAUUAUUUGUGCUAACCUGAAUAAUGUGGAGACCGCUUUGCUUCUUUCAAAAUUGCGAAAGUAUAGAAAAGCAUUGGGGUACUCUUUGGAUGAUAUUACAGGUAUUUCUCCAGAUCUUUGCAUGCACAAGAUUCACUUGGAGGAUGAGUCAAAGACGUCCAUAGAGCACCAGCGAAGACUGAAUCCCAAACUGAUGGAAGUUGUGAAAAAGGAGAUUCUAAAGCUGUUGAGUGCAGGGGUGAUCUACCCAAUUUCAGACAGCACUUGGGUGAGCCCGGUUCAUGUGGUUCCUAAGAAGGGUGGCAUCACUGUCAUCACAAAUGAGAAGGCUGAGCUGAUUCCUACCAGAACAGUCACAGGGCAUAGGAUGUGCAUUGACUACAGGAAGCUAAACUCAGCCACAAGGAAGGACCACUUCCCACUUCCUUUCAUUGACCAGAUGCUGGAAAGACUAGCCAACCACCCCUACUACUGUUUUCUCGAUGGCUACUCCGGGUUCUUUCAGAUACCCAUUCAUCCAGACGACCAAGAGAAGACAACAUUCACCUGCCCAUACGGUACUUUUGCCUACAGGAGAAUGCCCUUCGGAUUGUGCAAUGCUCCUGCAACUUUCCAGAGAUGCAUGAUGUCGAUCUUUACUGAUCUUAUUGAGGACAUUAUGGAGGUUUUUAUGGACGAUUUCUCAGUCUACGGUUCUUCAUUUAGCGACUGCCUUGCUAAUCUGUGCAAGGUGCUGGAAAGAUGUGAGGAGAAGAACUUGGUGUUAAAUUGGGAGAAGUGUCAUUUCAUGGUGAAAGAUGGCAUUGUUUUGGGUCACAGGAUAUCAGAGCAGGGUAUCGAGGUUGACAAAGCAAAGAUUGAAGUUAUGACCAGCCUACAGCCUCCCAGGACAGUGAGGGAUAUUCGGAGUUUUCUGGGACAUGCCGGUUUCUACAGGAGGUUUAUCAAAGACUUCUCUAUGAUAGCGAGGCCACUCACCCGUCUGCUGUGCAAAGAAGCGAAGUUUGUUUUUGAUGCUGACUGCCUCGCUGCGUUUCAGAUUCUCAAGAAGUCUCUAGUCAGUGCUCCCAUUGUGCAGCCACCAGAUUGGGACUUGCCAUUUGAAAUAAUGUGUGACGCAAGUGAUUACGCGAUUGGAGCUGUUUUGGGGCAGAGAAAAGACAAGAAACUCCAUGUGAUCUAUUAUGCCAGCCGAACGCUUGAUGAUGCUCAAAUCAAGUAUGCUACCACUGAGAAGGAGUUGCUGGCAGUAGUUUAUGCUUUCGAGAAGUUCAGGUCCUAUUUGGUGGGCUCGAAAGUAAUUGUGCACACAGAUCAUGCAGCCUUGAAGUACCUGAUGACGAAAAAAGAUGCUAAACCGAGACUCUUAAGGUGGAUCUUACUCCUACAGGAGUUUGAUAUUGAGAUCAGAGACAAGAGAGGAGCAGAAAAUGGAGUGGCAGAUCAUCUUUCCCGAAUGAGAGUGGAAGCUGAAACACCACUGGAUGAUACAUUACCCGAGGAGAAUGUCUAUGUGAUCACCUUGCUGGAGGAUGAGUAUUUGGAUCAGGCUGAUUGCUGUGCCAUGAGACAAAUUCAGGAUGAUCUCCCAUGGUUUGCAGACUUUGCAAACUACCUAUGUGCUGGAAUUGAACCACCGAACCUGAAGGGAUAUGAGAGGAAGAAGUUCAUGAGAGAUGUGAACCACUAUUACUGGGAUGAUCCCUUCCUCUACAAGAGAUGCUCAGAUGGUUUAUUCAGGAGAUGCGUUCUGGAGAAUGAGAUGCAAGGGAUUCUUUUCCACUGCCACAGCUCAGAAUACGCAGGCCAUUUUGCAACAUUCAAGACGGUUUCUAAGGUCCUGCAGGCUGGUUACUGGUGGCCUACACUUUUCAGAGACGCCCAUGAGUUUGUCUCAAAGUGUGAUGCAUGUCAGCGGAAGGGUAACAUCAGUAAGAGAAAUGAGAUGCCCCAAAAUUUCAUCCUUGAAGUUGAAGUUUUUGAUGUAUGGGGAAUUGAUUUUAUGGGCCCUUUCCCAUCUUCUUAUGGAAAUGAGUACAUCUUGGUUGCGGUUGAUUAUGUCUCCAAGUGGGUGGAAGCAGUAGCCAGCAAGACAAAUGACUCUAGUGUUGUCAAGAAAAUGUUCAAGACAGUCAUUUUUCCAAGAUUCGGGAUCCCGAGAGUGGUUAUUAGUGAUGGAGGCUCUCACUUCAUCAACAAGACGUUCGAUAAACUGCUGAAGAAACAUGGAGUAAAGCAUAAGGUAGCUACACCUUAUCAUCCUCAGACAAGUGGGCAGGUUGAAAUAUCGAACCGAGAAAUCAAGGGGAUUUUGGAGAAGGCUGUAGGCAAAACAAGGAAAGACUGGGCUGUGAAGCUUGAUGACGCCUUAUGGGCGUAUAGAACCGCCUACAAGACUCCCUUGGGCACCACUCCUUUUAAUCUGGUCUAUGGAAAGUCUUGUCACCUACCUGUGGAAUUGGAGUACAGUGGUUUUUGGGCAACGAAGUUGAUGAACUUCGACAUUAAAACCGCAGCAGAAAGGAGGAUGGUUCAGUUGAACGAGCUGGACGAGAUUCGGUUGAACGCCUAUGAGAACACCAAAAUCUACAAGGAAAGAACUAAGGCAUGGCAUGACAGAAAGAUAAUCCCGAGAGACUUCGCUGCUGGAGACAAAGUCCUUCUGUUCAACUCUAGACUCAAGCUAUUUCCUGGAAAGCUUAAGUCUCGUUGGUCCGGACCUUUCACCAUCACAGAGGUUAGACCUUAUGGAGCUGUUGUCUUGGAAGAGAAUGGGAGGAAGUUCACAGUCAAUGGGCAGAGGCUAAAACCUUACUUCACAGAUGCAAAACCCGAAGAAGGAACCAACAUUCCUUUAUCGGAACCUGAUCUCGCCUAAGGACAACAAAAUAGUCAGGCUCGCGACUUUAAACAAGCGCUGAGUGGGAGGCAACCCACAUGGUUUGAUUUUCUUUCUCUUUUGUGAUUAUGUUUUCUUGUGUGAAUUGAUUUUUGGUUGUGUUUUUAGAUGAUUUUCAGGCAUGUAUCACGAUCAGGCAGAGAUCGAUCGAUCCUAAAGAAACAGAACGGGCGAUCCAUGUAAGAGAUCGGUCGAUCCGGCUGAGGUAGAGCGGUCGAUCUCAGGAGAAGAUCGGUCGAUCCGACGCGUAUGGAUCGGUCGAUCUAAGGUAAGUAUUGCCCGGUUUGAUUUCACUUAAUUUAAACCGGAAAACACCCAUAAAACACCCAACUCGCGAAAAUAUCAAUCAAAACACAUAUCAUUUCAUCUUCCUCUCCUCUCAAACUCUCUCAAACCUCUCAAGAACACCAAAUUCGAUUUCCAUCAUCUCUCAUCCGAUUUUUGUAAUUCUUGGUGCUAAACUCAUUAGUUUUUCAAGCUCUAUCCGUUUCUACCAUCAGUUUUCAUCAAGACACAGGUAUGACUCUCUAAUUUUGGAAUCUAAAAUCGCCCUAGGGUUUGAUGUUGGGGAAUCUCCGAAUUCUAAAUGGAAUGGCAUCUAGGAUGGUUUAUUUGUGAUGAUUAUACUCAUGGGUUACCUUGAUUGCCAAUUUCGUGGGUUGAAUUGAGAUUUUAGAGAAAUAAUUUCCAAUGGUCAUAAUGUUGAUAAAAGUUCAAAUUAAAACUGAAAUUCUAAUUGUUUGAAUGAAAUGCUUGAAUAUUCAUGAUGAUUAACACUUUGCAGCAUGAUUUCUUUAAGCAAUUAUGAAUUUGGAACUGAAAAAUAAAAAUUUUAAUUUUGGAGUUUAAUUGAAAAACGAAAAUUGGAAUGGAGUGUGAUGUGUUAUCUUGAGUUUUGAGAAGAGAUGUGUGCUAAAUUUUUACAUGUUUAGGGGAUUGAUCAGAAUUGAUUUUAUAAGAGUGUUUUUCUAUUUGUCUCUUACUUGGGUUUUGAUGAAUUAAUUUUGCAGAUAAUGCCUAAGAGACAGAAGAAGCAGGGUGAGCGUGGGAGUUCCUCGGUACAGACUGCUAGGCUCAGCACAAAGGGCAAUUUCCGAAAGACGGAUAGGUCUCAUCCUGCGAAUCGAGAGAUAACCCAGCAGUGGGAUAUACAUGAUGAUGAUUUCUACGAGCAGAUGAGGGGAGUGGAAAUAUGUCCGUCGCGCUUCGCUCACAGAGACACUACAGAUGCAUUGGGGAUAACCGAGGAUAUUGAAGCCUUGUUCGAGAAGAUUGGCCUGGGGAACAUCUUCGAUCUCCACUGUGAUUGCUAUGCUGAUUUGACCAGGCAGUUCCUCGCAUCAGCCCGCCUCUACCAUCCUGACGAGGACAACCCGGUAGCUGAUAAGGCAAUGUUCUCCUUCAUUGUGAACAGGCAGUUCCACUCCAUGACCAUCUUUCAGCUGUGCGACGUCUUUGGGUUCGGGAAAGGACGUCAAUCUUGUGUUCCUGACUUCCCGGAACACAAUGAUUUCUGGAAAUUCAUCGCUUCAGGAAACUUCAUCUCUCGAGAGGCCAAGCAAGCUAGAAUUCGUAGCCCUGUUCUGCGAUAUGCAGUGAGAGUGAUCAGCAGUGUUAUCUAUGGGAAGACAGAACCCGCUGCAGUGACAAAAGAUGAGCUAGCUCUUCUGUUCAUUGGGGCUGGACACCUAUGGCCUCAAGGCGCGGACAUUACCUAUGUUAGCGGGAAGGACAUAAACAUAGGAGCUGUGAUCGCGGAGAAGCUUGCGUACUUCAAAGUUUCAGAUACGAAGAGAUGUGGGUUUGGAGCGGUUAUCACACAGAUCUUAAGGCAUUGUGGAGUGUUUCUUCCACCUGUUGACAGAGUGGUGGAUAAGAAGGGGAUGUAUCAGAACUUUUUCGACAUGAGAGCACUCAUUAGCAGCCACUACCUCACCGGCCCUUGGCGAGGAAGCAUCGACAAGUCCGCCCCUCAUAUCUACCAGUUCCAGAACCAACAAGGGAGAGAGCAAUUUGUCAAGCUACCCGAUACCGCCAUCACCGAGCUGACUGAUCCAGGUGCUAUCAUAUUUCUACCACCGCCUGCAUCUCUCUGCACCAGACCCGCGACACUGAAGAAGAAAGGAGUCGCAUCAUCAUCGACACACCAGCAGACACCACAUGAUGAUAUAGAGGAGGAACCUGAAGAUGAGGAAAGUCUUUUCCCCACGGAUUUCACUCCGUAUAUGCUGCCACCAGCACCUCCCGCUACUGCAUCCGCUGCUGAGAUCAACGCUUGGUCGAUCAAGAGCCAUCAAACCAACAACUCCAUACUGCUGAAGAUGUGGAAGGGAAUCUGCAACAUUAAGAAGGGAUGCGCAUCACAGCCAGCUGUUUCUGGAGAUAGCGAUGACGACUCAGGCGCUCACGACACCGCUGCUGGACCUGAGGCAGCGGAGGACUCUGAUGAUGAUGGAGCCUUGGAGAGGCGCUCCAAGAGGCGUACUGACCGCAACGCCUGAUCGGUAAUCUCUCUUGGAAUUAUUUUCACACCGAGACGGUGUGAAGUAAGUCUGGGGGAGGAUGCUACUUAUGUACCAUAUUGCUUUUAUUUCUUUUAUUUUCUUAGUUUAUCGGAUUUGAUUGUGUUUUAAAAAAAUCUCUACGUAUUUUUAUCAGACCCUGUGAUGAUUAUUAGACUAUUUCCUUGUGUGUUGUGCAUUACAUUUCAUAUUGGCCAUUUUUCAGGACUGUUAGCGCAGACAAACCGAGGAACCACUUGACCAAACAACCUCUCCUUAAAUCUUUUAUCAAGUCUCGGUGAAUUGUAAUCGACUCAACUAUUUUUGACCAUUAAUGAAUUUAAUUUCUUUUGACCAGGAAUCAACAUCAGGAAACGGUACACCAUAUACACAUUCAGGAUUUUCUUUACCACAUUUUACCACUCUUUAAUAAUCCUGAAUGGCCAGACUCAUCAAUAGUUUGGUACCACACCUACACCGUACCCUUUUAUUUCAUCUCCAUGCAUUCUUACACACUGAUCAUAUGUGCAUACAUGUGCAAAAACAAUGGAGAGAUUAGGGUAGACAUGGUUCAUCCGACUGCUUAGGUAGGAUCGGAACAUUUAGGUGGUUAGACACGGACCUGUGUGUCUAGAGGUGUAAAUAGAAAAAUUGGGUGUUGUAAGUGUGUGAUUGCAUCGCAGUGUAUAUAUUCGAUUUCGGUUUGUAUAAGUUUUCGUUCUGAAAUAUAAAAAAAAAAAAAAAAAAAAGUUCAUGUUUAUAUCUCAUUCAGUAGAUUUGAUUUAGACAUUUUAUUUUUAUUUUGUGUACCAGAGAUGAUGCGUUGUUUAAAUUUGGGGUUAGAGUUUGAGAUUUGUUGGGUUUUGAUCAUUUGAGACUUGAGCAGUUCGAAAACGUGGUUAUCAAUAUACUCGGUUUCUCCAGCGAUUUUGCAUAAUGUUUUGCAUUUUUUGUUAUCGCUGAUACCCACAAACACUUGAGCCUCACCUAAUUAAACACUAAAACAGCCUCCCAAACACCGAGCCCGUUAUACCUGAUGGAGAUAUCUUUGGUGGAAAGGUCACGCCCUUUUUAAUGAAUGUAAAGAGUUGAUUACUUGAAACUGAGACUUGCAGGUCUGAAAUAUGGAAAGGUUUGCGCGGUCUUGGUGGGGAUUUGGAAUGAAUGCCUUGACAGUCUCUGAUUUAAGUGGUUAGCGAAAUCACAAGGUAAGGUCUACUGAGGGUUAGUGAGCUCCCAAAUUUUAAUCCUCUUUACUUGAGGACAAGCAAAGAUUCAAGUCUGGGGGAGUUGAUAUUCCGUGUUUUUAACGGUUUUAAACUCGUUUUGGAGCAAUUAAAUGGUCGGUUUUAAUUAAUGUUUUGGUCUAUUUGAUGCGUUUUGGUGUUCUUAAGUGUAAUAUGCAGGUUACUAGAUAGCUUGAAAGAAAAGAACGCAUUCGGGAUUUAUUCAGAAGCAAGAUGGACCGAACAAUGGACCGAAUGAAGUAUUGAUCGCACAGAGCACGAGAUCGACCGAUCCGGGCUACCUGGAUCGACCGAUCCCAGGCUUUCAUACACGAGAUCGACCGAUCCGAGUCAUGUGGAUCGACCGAUCUCAGGCGCUACGGGCUCCACACGCACAAACGAGCUUUUCACUCCUUUUUACCCACUCCCCUCAAUAAUUCAGAAAAGAACUCGACCUUUGAGACUCAGAAAAGACCAGGGGCGACCAAGGAGGAGAUUUACAAGUUCUAGAGAGAAGAUUUGAGUGUUUUGUACUUGUUUUGGUGUGAUUUGUGAAGAUUUGUAAAGGAGUUCAUCUCAAAACCAUUUGGAGAAGAUCUUCUGAACCUUUACUCUGUUUUAAUACAAUCUUAUCAUGUUUUCU
rnacentral:lncRNA from 1 species